AGAGAGGACAUGCGCGCAUAUCAAUAAGCGGAGGAAAAGAAACUAACAAGGAUUCCCCUAGUAACGGCGAGUGAAGCGGGAAGAGCUCAAAUUUGAAAUCUUAAAGGGUUUCCCUUUACGAAUUGUAGUUUAAAGAAGUGUUUUCUGUUGAGGUUUUGGUAAAAGUUCUUUGGAAUAGGACAUCAUAGAGGGUGAGAAUCCCGUAUUUGACCAUUACUUUCCAACUUUGUGAUACACUUUCAAAGAGUCGGAUUGUUUGGGAAUGCAGUCCAAAAUGGGUGGUAAAUUUCAUCUAAAGCUAAAUAUUGGCGAGAGACCGAUAGCGAACAAGUACCGUGAGGGAAAGAUGAAAAGAACUUUGAAAAGAGAGUUAAACAGUACGUGAAAUUGUCAAAAGGGAAGCGUUUGACACCAGUGUUGUUUUUCUGAAAAUCAAUUAAAGAACUGUUUAUGCUAAGCUGUUUAGACUUUAUCAGCUACCUGUUUAGUUUUGAGCUUUUCUUUAAUGCACUUUUCAGUUAACAAGUCAACAUCAAUUUCUUUUGCUGUAAAAAAGCUUGAGGAAGGUGGCUUGAGAUUCGUCUUAAGUGUUUAUAGCCUCUUGCCUAUGCAGUCGGAGAGAUUGAGGUCUGCAGCGUAGAUCCUUCGGGGCUAAAUGCAUUUGUGCUAAGUUAUAGCAUUUUAUAGACAACUUGUUGACUAUGAUUUGUCUUGUAGCUUACUCGCUUAUGUUAUUUUACCUACGCUUAGGAUGUUGAGCGCAUGUCUCUCUCU
rnacentral:rRNA from 1 species